UAUUGACUUUCAUUUCUGCCUGGGUAAGGUUCCCCAGUAGUUGAAAUCACCUUGGGAACUGCAUCCUGUUAGAUCAUAUUGUGAGGCCUGCACAAAAAUUCUAGAGAGAUUGUUAGUACAAAAAUAAAAAUAAAAAUAGAAAUUAGGGAUUGAAAAAAUAAAAAUGGAAAAAUAAAAAUAAGAAAAUAAAAAUAAAAUAAAGUCGAAAUUAAUCAAGGAUCACACAAAUAGAAUAGCUUAAACCGUGAGUCCCCGGC
rnacentral:lncRNA from 1 species